ACCACCGAAUUAUCGACUUCUCGCGUCUUCUUUUCUUUGCCGCCGCAAACAGAUAGACGCUGAGAGAGGUAGAAAAUUGAUAGAGACAGACAGAGAGGUGUUUGUUUUCGGUUGUUUGCCCGAUCUGUGCAUAAAGAGUAGAUCAUUCGGAAGCUUCUGGGAAUUGAUAUGAAGGAGGAAGAACUCAGUAUUAAAACCAAUUGAUUGAGGCAUCUCUGGCCUAUUCAUUUUUGCUGACCUUGAUGAGCUAUCUGACAAUGAAGCCAAUGUUCCUGUUGAAGGUGAUGCUGGUGUUGCAAGCAUGGAGCAAGAUGUCAAUGGUGCUUCAGAUUUUCUACCAAUAAAGAAAAUCAAGAUUUUCUGUAGUCUUGGAGAGGAACAUGCAACUCAUGCUCACCACUCCGACCGCAAUAUCCAAGAAAAUCUGGUAGCCAAGCUCCUAAAAUAUGUUGAGUGGGCAACAUGGGAUUGUGGUUGUUAUAACAUAGGUAAUAUCAGGGAAGGGCUGAUUUGUGACAGGAUAGGGAUUGGCUUACAUUGCUGAUGUACGUAGUGUGCAACAUCUGAAUAACAAAUUUUGCCAAUGCUUGAAUCUGUAUGUUGUAGUAUCUCUUAUGAGGCAAAAUGUCCACAAUGACAACUUCAAAUGUCAGUAAGCCUGCAAUUUGGUGUUAACAAGAUGUAAAAUAAAAAUGACUUCAUGAAUUAGUGUGCAACAAUUAUCAUUUCUUCGU